GCGCCGGUGGUGUAAGGCGAACAUCGCUGCCCGGAAAGCAGAAGAUGCGGGUUCGAGUCCCGCCUGGCGCC
rnacentral:tRNA from 1 species